CAGCCGCCGCGGGAAUACGAAGGGGGCUAGCGUUGUUCGGAUUUACUGGGCGUAAAGGGUGCGUAGGCGGAUUGUUAAGUCAGGGGUGAAAUCCCGAGGCUCAACCUCGGAACUGCCUUUGAUACUGGCGAUCUUGAGUCCGGGAGAGGUGAGUGGAACUGCGAGUGUAGAGGUGAAAUUCGUAGAUAUUCGCAAGAACACCGGUGGCGAAGGCGGCUCACUGGCCCGGAACUGACGCUGAGGCACGAAAGCGUGGGGAGCAAAUGGGAUUAGAUACCCCUGUAGUCCCUGUCUCUUAUAA
rnacentral:rRNA from 1 species